UCAUGGAGGCUUCCUGUCCAACCCCUUCUCUAUUACUAACGGCACCCGACAGGGAUGCCCCCUCUCGCCCCUUCUAUACAUACUAGCCCUGGAACCCCUAGCGUGCAAAAUCAGAUCCCAUCCAGACAUACAAGGAAUCCCUAUACGAGACAAGAGGUACAGCCUGGCCCUGUUUGCCGACGACAUUUUCGUGGCACUAACAGACCCCACCCGCUCUUU